GGUUGUCAUGCGAGAAACAUCAGUGGCUGGUGGGUGGCUGUCUGGAAGCAGAGUGGAAGCUGUUGGUGGAAUAUGUAAUGAGGAUUAUGUAUGUGUGCAACUCACAUGGAGAUUGGCUGAGUUUGGCACCUCAUGAAGAUACAACCACCUUUUUGUCUCAUUCUGGUUUUCUUAAAACCCUUCCCCCACCACUCUGGGAAGUCAGGAUUCAUCCUUCCCCUCUCCACCCUCUCCUACAACUUGAGGACACUAGUUUGUCUUCCUGCAUGGACAACUUCUGCAUCUCCAGCAGAGUUUGAUGGGAUCUGAAGUGUCCAGAGGCCACCCAAGAAUUUUGUAAGGCCUUCAAGACCAAGAAAAUCUGCCAGCACAGCUCUAAGUGCCCGAGCAUUCCCAGCUCCACUCGACCUCCUGGGAAAGAAACAAUCCCAACACACAGAUGUCCCAGCUGGAAGCAAAGCCCUGCUACCAAUGCUCCAUGUGGGAAGCAGGGAUGCAUUUCCCUGCACCCUUUCAGUGCACGGACCAGUCUCAUCCCUAUAGUGCAGGAAGGACACAUGGAGUUUUCCCAAGCCAGGGGAGGGUUGGCUGCAGGGACAAGGUGCUCCAGAGACAAAGGGCAGCUCAGUGAAGAUGGAUGGAGGCUGUAGCCGUGAAUUCCUCAAGGGACACUGCCCUCCUAUUGAUCCAUCUGCAACCUGCUGUGGUCUGCAACCAUUCCCAGAGGCAGAGGCUGCAGUUGGGAGCGUGAUCCAGUACCCUGUGAGAGGCUGGUGGUGGAUGAACCAUCAUCAGCUAAAGGAAAUAUCACACCCGUGGACAGUGGUCCCAUGGCAAUGUUUUCCAGCAUCCCCCCUCCCAGCAGUACACCUCGUGGAUCCUUAUUUCUUCAAGGAAAGGAAGCACAGCGUGUUGUCUGGCUGUCUGCUCCGGCUCACCUCAUGCUGAUGGGGCUUGGCUCACUCCCAGGAUAGGCACAGCACCUGCAGCUGGGGCACCCCCCUAAACCUCAGUGAGUACAGAAGGCAUGCUUUGAAACUGCCCUGGCAUGGAGGAGCAGGUUUAACCCAGCCAGAAAUUCACCCAACUGGGGACCCAAUCCUGACUAUGGCAACCCCAAGAGACAGGGGUGAGUGGAAUCCCUCCCCAGGAGACCAGGGAACGGCUGCCAGAGGACUGCAGGAGCUGAGACACAGAGGUAUGACAGGAGACCCUUUAGAGCCUGAGGGUUAUGCUAGGGGA